AAACAAGGAAGAGAAACACAGGUUUCUCUUCAGCGAAACAGAAAGCUACCUACCAAGUUAACACCGAGGUGUUACAGAGAUGUGGAUUUAAGUUUAGGCAGGUCAAGUGGUAGGCCUAUUCAUUCUCACCUCGCCUGGAAUUUAAAUCAUGUCCUACAGUGACGCAGUAAGGGCCCACAUACCUCGUCAGGAUGCAGUAAUACGAGCUCCAGCAUUGAGCCAACAGCAGGCCCAGUUGAGAAGCCAGCUGCGGAGCGUGUUGCGGAGGCAUCCAGAGGGCGUGCUGCUGACCCAGCUGCGGAGGAGCUGUCCACUCCUGUUCCAGCCAGCGGUGUUGGGCCCAUACUCCUCAACCACAGAGCUGCUCCGCUCCAUGACUGAUGUGCUCUACAUGGAGGGCAUAGGGGUCCAGACGCGCGUCUUUGCACAUGUGUCUUUCCUGUUCCCUGGACUUUGUGCCCAAAAUAUUGCAUUCAUUAGCUAAAACUAUGAGUAGCCUCCUACUGCAAUGUUACUACAGGAAAACUGCAGUUUUAUGAUGAUGUAUAUGUUUUUUCACACCAGCAGUCUGAAUCAAAAAGGUCAUAUAAAACAGACCAAAACAGAAAGGCCUGUGUGGUCAGAUAAGAAGCCUUAACCUAUGUAUUUAUUGACCAAAUGGGCACAGCCACAAGGGAAUAAUAUUAGCAGUAAGCUUGUACACCAAAGUGCUGAAACGUUUUAAAAAACAGAUAUGUUCCAAAGAAUAAUGAAGGUUCCUGCCACUUUGUAACUUGCCACUUUAUACGUAUGGUUGUGGCAUCAAAAACAUUCCUUUUUUUUAAAGAAGGCAAUCAUCAUCAAUAUACUAGGGAUAGUCUGCCAUUCCUCUUUUUUGUUGUUUAAGUCUUAGAAUGAUAUCAUAUAAGCUGUAUGUGAGCCUUAGAAGAUUCCUGUCUAGUUUCUAUACAUGUGCAAUCAAAGCAGAAGUUCUUAUAAACAUUAUAUAACAUUUUUAGAACAUUUGAUAUGCUGUAACAUUGUCAUAAAUAGCUGAAAGGGUUUUACAGAUUUCCUACCUUUUAAAUAUUACUGUAGAUUCGAUUUAGACAUAGAUUUUAUGAUGAAAAGAAUGAUUUAAUAUAAAGGUGCUCCUUUUAGACAUGGAGACCAGAAUUAAAUGACUGUUGAGAACAAAUGUAGACAUACUCAGGAAUGUGAUGUUAUGAAGACUUAAUUAAAUGUGUUCCAAAUCAUUGUGCAUUUUGGAAUGGUAUGUAAUACGAUGAAGAAUAAAUUGAUGUUGUGAUUUUGUUAAGAUUCUCAUUUGAUUGUAUAUAACCAUAUUACAGAGUAACACUUCCUCAUGCUUUCAGCUAUUAUUGACCAUAUUACAUGAAGUUGUGAGGGUCCUGCCAGUAUGGACUAGCACUAUGAAGUGCCCAACGGCCAUGUAUUGUAGCAGCUUUUAUACAUGCCAUCAUUACAUGUUCAUGGCAUCAGUUCAAGUUACUGUAAGUCUAAAGCAAAGCUUAUCCUACACUCACUGGUCACUUUAUUAGGCACACCUUUCUUUUUUGUUGUUGGUAUUUUUGACUUUUAUUAGGACAGUUAAGGUGGUGACAGGAAGCUAGUGGGGAGAGAAAGACGGGGAAGGGCCGGCAAAGGACCCGGGCCGGGAACUGAACCCGAGUCAGCCGCAACGGCAGACGAGCGCCCCACCGCUUGGCCGUGGCAGGGCCUACGCACACCUUUCUAACUGCUUAUUGACGCAAAAUUCUAAUCAGCCAAUCGCAUGGCGGCAGAUCAAUGCAUUCAGGCAUGUAGACAUAUUCAAGAUGAUCUGCCGCAGUUCAAAGUGAGCAUCAGAACGGGGAAGAAAGGUGACUUAGGUGACUUUGAAUAUGCCAUGGUUGUUGGUGCCAUAUGGGAUUGGUUGGAGUAUCUCAGAAACUACUGAAGUACAGGGAUAUUCACAUAGCCUAAAAUCAUCUCUAGGAACGGUCCGAAAAAGGCAAGAUACCCAGUGAGCGGCAGUUCUGUGGGCGAAAAUACCUUGUUGAUGCCAGAGGUCAGAGGAGAAUGGCCAGACUGGUUCGAGCUGACACAAAGACAACAGUUACUGAAAAAAAAACACACUAAGGUAUACCUACCGGUAAUAAAGUGGUCAGUAAGUGUAUAAAACAAUGGCAGAAGUCUAUCCCAGACAGCCAUUGUCUAAAUAACGAUCAUACUUGCCAUUUGGUCUUGCCAUUCAUUCCGAAAUAAUAACAAAUGCAUACGUUUAUGACAGUCUGCAGCAUAAGUGUGAUGGACUACACUCUCCAACUUUCACAGACAUCAAAAGUAUGAGGGGGCUCUCUCGACUUAUCUGAUCAUAAUGU